GGAGGGGGUUAGCGUUGUUCGGAAUUACUGGGCGUAAAGCGCGCGUAGGCGGACUAUUAAGUUAGAGGUGAAAUCCCAGGGCUCAACCCUGGAACUGCCUUUAAUACUGGUAGUCUUGAGUUCGAGAGAGGUGAGUGGAAUUCCAAGUGUAGAGGUGAAAUUCGUAGAUAUUUGGAGGAACACCAGUGGCGAAGGCGGCUCACUGGCUCGAUACUGACGCUGAGGUGCGAAAGUGUGGGGAGCAAACAGGAUUAGAUACCCUGGUAGUCCACGCCGUAAACGAUGAGAACUAGCCGUUGGGGCCUUUAAGGCUUUGGUGGCGCAGCUAACGCGAUAAGUUCUCCGCCUGGGGAGUACGGCCGCAAGGUUAAAACUCAAAUGAAUUGACGGGGGCCCGCACAAGCGGUGGAGCAUGUUGUUUAAUUCGAUGCAACGCGAAGAACCUUACCACCCCUUGACAUACUCGGAACUUUCUAGAGAUAGAUUGCUGCCUUCGGGAACCGAGAUACAGGUGCUGCAUGGCU
rnacentral:rRNA from 1 species